UACAGGGGGUGCAAACGUUGCUCGGAAUCAUUGGGCGUAAAGCGCACGUAGGCGGUCUGUUAUGUCGGAUGUGAAAGCCCUUGGCUCAACUGAGGAAGUGCAUCCGAAACUGGCAGGCUAGAGUACUAAAGAGGGUCGCGGAAUUUCCGGUGGAGCGGUGAAAUGCAUUGAGAUCGGAAAGAACACCAACGGCGAAAGCACUCUGCUGGGCCGACACUGACACUGAGAGACGAAAGCUAGGGGAGCAAAUGGG
rnacentral:rRNA from 1 species